rnacentral:rRNA from 9 species
UGGAGCUGAAGUCAGUCGAAGAUACCAGCUGGCUGCAACUGUUUAUUAAAAACACAGCACUGUGCAAACACGAAAGUGGACGUAUACGGUGUGACGCCUGCCCGGUGCCGGAAGGUUAAUUGAUGGGGUCAGCGCAAGCGAAGCUCCUGAUCGAAGCCCCGGUAAACGGCGGCCGUAACUAUAACGGUCCUAAGGUAGCGAAAUUCCUUGUCGGGUAAGUUCCGACCUGCACGAAUGGCGUAAUGAUGGCCAGGCUGUCUCCACCCGAGACUCAGUGAAAUUGAACUCGCUGUGAAGAUGCAGUGUACCCGCGGCAAGACGGAAAGACCCCGUGAACCUUUACUAUAGCUUGACACUGAACAUUGAGCCUUGAUGUGUAGGAUAGGUGGGAGGCUUUGAAGUGUGGACGCCAGUCUGCAUGGAGCCGACCUUGAAAUACCACCCUUUAAUGUUUGAUGUUCUAACGUGGACCCGUGAUCCGGGUUGCGGACAGUGUCUGGUGGGUAGUUUGACUGGGGCGGUCUCCUCCUAAAGAGUAACGGAGGAGCACGAAGGUUGGCUAAUCCUGGUCGGACAUCAGGAGGUUAGUGCAAUGGCAUAAGCCAGCUUGACUGCGAGCGUGACGGCGCGAGCAGGUGCGAAAGCAGGUCAUAGUGAUCCGGUGGUUCUGAAUGGAAGGGCCAUCGCUCAACGGAUAAAAGGUACUCCGGGGAUAACAGGCUGAUACCGCCCAAGAGUUCAUAUCGACGGCGGUGUUUGGCACCUCGAUGUCGGCUCAUCACAUCCUGGGGCUGAAGUAGGUCCCAAGGGUAUGGCUGUUCGCCAUUUAAAGUGGUACGCGAGCUGGGUUUAGAACGUCGUGAGACAGUUCGGUCCCUAUCUGCCGUGGGCGCUGGAGAACUGAGGGGGGCUGCUCCUAGUACGAGAGGACCGGAGUGGACGCAUCACUGGUGUUCGGGUUGUCAUGCCAAUGGCACUGCCCGGUAGCUAAAUGCGGAAGAGAUAAGUGCUGAAAGCAUCUAAGCACGAAACUUGCCCCGAGAUGAGUUCUCCCUGAGACUUUAGGUCUCCUGAAGGAACGUUGAAGACGACGACGUUGAUAGGCCGGGUGUGUAAGCGCAGCGAUGCGUUGAGCUAACCGGUACUAAUGAACCGUGAGGCUUAACCUUACA